AACGAACGCUGGCGGCAGGCUUAACACAUGCAAGUCGAACGCCCCACAAGGGGAGUGGCAGACGGGUGAGUAACGCGUGGGAACGUGCCCUUCGCUUCGGAAUAGUCCCGGGAAACUGGGUUUAAUACCGAAUACGCCGUAUUGGGAAAGAUUUAUCGGCGAAGGAUCGGCCCGCGUUCGAUUAGGUAGUUGGCGGUGUAAUGGACCACCAAGCCUACGAUCUAUAGCUGGUCUGAGAGGAUGAUCAGCCACACUGGGACUGAGACACGGCCCAGACUCCUACGGGAGGCAGCAGUGGGGAAUCUUGGACAAUGGGCGCAAUCCUGAUCCAGCCAUGCCGCGUGAGUGAAGAAGGCCUUAGGGUUGUAAAACUCUUUCGCCGGAGAAGAUAAUGACGGUAUCCGGAGAAGAAGCCCCGGCUAACUUCGCGCCAGCAGCCGCCGUAAAAC
rnacentral:rRNA from 1 species